rnacentral:rRNA from 1 species
UGGGGAAUUUUCCGCAAUGGGCGCAAGCCUGACGGAGCAAUACCGCGUGAGGGAGGAAGGCCUUUGGGUUGUAAACCUCUUUUCUUAGGGAAGAAGAAAGUGACGGUACCUAAGGAAUCAGCACCGGCUAACUCCGUGCCAGCAGCCGCGGUAAUACGGAGGGUGCAAGCGUUAUCCGGAUUUACUGGGUUUAAAGGGUGCGUAGGCGGCUUUUUAAGUCAGUGGUGAAAGCCUAGACACUUAAUGUCAGAAGUGCCAUUGAUACUGAAGAGCUUGAGUCAAGGAGAGGUAAGCAGAAUUUGUGGUGUAGCAGUGAAAUGCUUAGAUACCAUGAGGAAUACCAACAGCGAAAGCAGCUUACUGGCCUUGUACUGACGCUGUGGCACGAAAGCGUGGGGAGCAAACAGGAUUAGAUACCCCCGUAGUCC